rnacentral:rRNA from 1 species
UACGGAGGAUGCGAGCGUUAUCCGGAUUUAUUGGGUUUAAAGGGUGCGUAGGCGGACUGUCAAGUCAGCGGUAAAAUUGAGAGGCUCAACCUCUUCCCGCCGUUGAAACUGGGGGCCUUGAGUGGGCGAGAAGAAGGCGGAAUGCGUGGUGUAGCGGUGAAAUGCAUAGAUAUCACGCAGAACCCCGAUUGCGAAGGCAGCCUUCCGGCGCCCUACUGACGCUGAGGCACGAAAGUGCGGGGAUCGAACAGG